rnacentral:rRNA from 1 species
AUGCUCUUAAUGAUCCCGGCUCAUGAUUUAAUUGCCAUGUAUUUAGCUAUUGAGCUUCAAAGUUUAUGUUUUUAUGUGAUCGCAGCAUCAAAAAGAAAGUCUGAAUUUUCCACGGAAGCCGGCUCAAAAUAUUUGAUCUUAGGUGCAUUUCCCUCUGGAAUAUUAUUGUUCGGGUGCGACCGAACUACUACCGAUCAAUUUUUUGGAACUUAUUUAUAG